rnacentral:rRNA from 1 species
CGGGAGUAACACGUGGGCGAACCUGCCCUGAAGUGGGGGAGUAACAUCUGGAAACAGGUGCUAAUACCGCAUAACAACGAAAACCACAUGGUUUCGUUUCAAAGAUGGUUUCGGCUAUCACUUCAGGAUGGGCCCGCGGUGCAUUAGCUAGUUGGUAAGGUAACGGCUUACCAAGGCAAUGAUGCAUAGCCGAGUUGAGAGACUGAUCGGCCACAAUGGAACUGAGACACGGUCCAUACUCCUACGGGAGGCAGCAGCG